rnacentral:lncRNA from 1 species
AUGGCAUCAAUAUGAGAUAUAAUAUCUUAAAAUUGUUAGAGCACAAACAAUCCUUUAGAUUUUCUGUCCUGAGGAACAAGAACUAGAAACUUAAAGAAAUGACAAUGCAUCAACCAAUACCUUCAAGAUAAAAUAUAGACUAAAUAUGUAUCAUUGUGAAUCUACAAAUGCUAACAUCUACAAAAUUAAGGUAUUAUAUAAGAAUACUAUAUCAAUCAUAUCUGAUUUUCGGGCUGUGAAAAGAACUCCUUUGCUUUAUGAGCUACCUCUGCUUCCAAAAUUGCUUCUUGAACUAUGUCAGAUCCUUUCACAUCAGCUCCUAAUACAACCAAAGCUUGUUUCAAUUCAGAUAUCAUUCUAGAGCAAAUAAAAAACGCUGCAUAAAAAUCACUAUAACAUAGUAUGCGAUGCAGAUAACAGACAAUCAUGAUUAAGUUAUUAUUACCACCACGAUUUGGUAAGAGUCCAGUACUUUCAGCGGAAACUGGCAUGACAAUAAGCUGCAGACCAUCUUUAAUCUUCUCAACUUCAGCACUACUUGCCAAUGAACCAUUCUUGAUGGAAGGGGCCUCGGCCAACCUGGCAUAAGUAGUUGCUUUGCAUUGGAUGGCAAUGGAGUUGAAUUCUAUAAAUAAUUAGACGUGUAAGAAAACACGCUCCCUAGAGGAGUCCAUUCUAUAGAAUUAUUAUUAUUAGUUUCUGUAUGUGGUCAAUAAACCUUGGUAAGAGACGAUAUUGAGAGAUUCACUCCAGCACCUUCCGGUAUCCUAUUGUUUGCAUAUCCACCUACAGCCGAUAACACGGUUAUACAAAAUAUCGGCAUCAAUACAUUUCGAUUAAAUCGCGCAUCAAUGUAAACAAUACCAUUUAAGAUGGAUGGCUGGUCGAGAUUAUCAAGCCUCCGAGUUAAAGGGCCAGGAUUUAUAAAUGAUAGACUUCGAACUUCAUGUUGAAUAGCAUUUACUUCUGCCAUCAUAUCCCGAAGUUCAUUAUGAAGCUAAAAGGCAGAAUAGAAUAUAUGAUUAACUAGAUUGCAAUUUUCAAUUUUCUUACAAUGCAACGAUGAGUUUACGAGUUUUAAUAUGGACAGUGAUAUCCAUAUGAAUCAUAAGUUUGAUAAAAGAAAGGGAGAGUACCUGGCGAGCUUGAGAUUGCUGUAUAACAGAUCCAAGGUGUCCCCGGGCCAAUUGUACAUAUGCAAUAGCCCGGCCAGCCAUCCUCCCAGCUGUUCUGGAGAUCCAAGGUGUCCCCGGGCCAAUUGUACAUAUGCAAUAGCCCGGCCAGCCAUCCUCCCAGCUGUUCUGGUUAUGAUUGGCAAAUCCUUUGGACCUAUUGCACAUUGAUUUUCCGGUUAAACAAUUUUGAUCUAUUGGUACGAAAAUUUCAAUAUGAUAAAGAUAAGUAAGAAUAGCAUGAACCAAACCAAGCAGAGCCGCAGUGGCUCCCAGCAAUAAGAAUAUUUCUCCCUAUGAAAAUCCCAGCAUUGUUGAGUCUUGUUGUGUGAGAUUUCUACUGGAGUAGGGUUAAGAAACGAAGGUUGAGAAUUGAAUGAAAGCUUGAAACCUAAAAAGGUAAAUUGAAAUUAACAGAAUACCUGUGCCGUCAAUUGAAGGGCUUUAACGCGAAAUCGGGAAUCGUGAUGCGCCGGAAGUUAAUCGCCGGUAAAUUGCUUUUUUAUUGCGACAAUAAAUAACUCUGGCAGCUAUUUCAACCGGUUUGCUUACGAGAAAAAGAGAAAACGGCGACUAUUUCAACCGGUUUGCUUACGAGACUAAGAAAAAGAGAAAAAGUUAAGUAUGAUAUAGUAACGAGACUAAGAAAAAGAGAAAACGGCAGCUAUUUUCAAGGGUUUGCUUACGAGACUAAGAAAAAGAGAAAAAGUUAAGUGUGAUAUAGUAACGAGACUAAGAAAAAGAGAAAACGGCAGCUAUUUCAAGGGUUUGCUUACGAGACUAAGAAAAAGAGAAAAAGUUAAGUGUGAUAUAGUAUCGAGACUAAGAAAAAGAGAAAAAGGCAGCUAUUUCAAGGGUUUGCUUACGAGACUAAGAAAAAGAGAAAAAGUUAAGUGUGAUAUAGUAAAAGAAAUAAAAAGUAAACAAACACACUUGGUGGGACUCGAACCCAGAAUCGCUUGAUUAGAGUUUAAAUUGUGCUAUGCAUGCAAAUUUAUUUUCACACUUGGUUCUCAAUCGAAGAAAAAUUGGAGAAAAACAACAAUGAGUUCACCCCAAAUUUGUUAUGGAUACAUUUGUUCUUACAUAUUCUGCGGUUAUUCGUGGUUACAUGAACGUCGGGAGGAAUAAUGAUCCAUUUCCUGAUUUUAAAAGAUAAAUGAAUUGCAACAAAAAAAAUAAUUGCAUAAAGCAAAGAAAAAAAUGGCAAUUAUAAUCUCUUCAUAUCUCAUGUGAUAGUAAUUUAUUCGUAUGGUGGAGGGGUCCAAUGUUCAACCAUAGGAUGAACUUAAAAGAUUUAUCUUUAAGAAAAAUUUGAUUUUUUUUUAUGUUGGUAUUGGUUAAAAAAUUUAAAUAAAAAAAUAUUUAUGUUCAAUGUAUUAAAUAUAUAUAAUAUUUUAUAAAAAAUUUAAUUAUUUAUAGUUUUAGUGAAUUGAAUACAUUUGAUUUUUUUUUAUGUUGGUAUUGGUUAAAAAAUUUAAAUAAAAAAAUAUUUAUGUUCAAUGUAUUAAAUAUAUAUAAUAUUUUAUAAAAAAUUUAAUUAUUUAUAGUUUUAGUGAAUUGAAUACAAAUAAUUUUAAAAAAUUUAUCUUUUUAGUUUUUAAAAUAAUGAUUAACUUAUCUUUUUAAUUUCUUAAAAAAGUGUUCCUACAUUAGUUAGCAUUUCUUUUAAUGUUUGAUAAAAUAACACUGUUAUUAAAAUAUUUUAUAAUGCACCUAGUAAAACCUUUAAAUCAUUUAAAGAAACUUUUAUAGUCAUUUUUUCAUUUCUCCUUUUUUUAGAUGACAAGCCUUGAUCCAAAUUGCAUUGAUCCAAACUUGCAAGCAAGGUAUUUCUUGAAGCAUCAAAAUCAGAGUUACUUAGAGAGCAAACUAAUUCCUAAUCAGAAAAAUUACUGUCUUUUCAUCACGUUUUCUUCUAUGAAUUCAAUGAUCCCACACAACCACCAAGUCCAAAACCUACCACUUCUUUCCCUUCCACAACUCAACAUGCAUAUUUUCCUUUAAAGCCUACAAUCAUCAUUCAUCAUAAAAAGAUUGGAUUUUUAAUGGGUGGCCAACAAAAGAAGAUUAUGGAUUUCAAAGUUUCUCAUAAGUCUGUAGGGUUUGACCUUAUGCAGAACUGUGAUCUUCCUCCACCUUCCAAGGUUUUUUUGGGUUCAGAUAAAACGGUGAUAUUAUCUAUGCAUAAGGUCUGUAAUAUUUCAGGUAGAGAAAAAGGACGAGAUAGCAUACACCAGCUCGAAAAUGAUGAUGACGAAAAGGAUAAAAGAGAGCUUCUUAAGGCGCUGAAAGCAUCUCAAAUACGCGCUAGAGAGGCAGAAAAGAUGGCGGCUAUCCUAAACAAAGUGUGGACAAAAUACAUCAAGCAUGGUUAUGAACAUAUUAAAAUACAUGCAAAUGAAUCUCAAUUCAAAAAAAUAACAUUGCUAGGGCACCACCUUUUUCAUCUUGAUUUAUGACUUAAAUUAUGAAUUAUUUAACAUCUAUCAACUUAGGUUUUUCUCCUAUGUACUAUCUCUUUUCCUGCUUUUAAGGAGUAAAAUCGCCUUUCUUAAUAACCAGAGACACGAUACAAGCAAGGAAUGAUAAUCAAAUAGUAGGAUGAAGGACACGAUCAACAAAUUCUUUAGACAAAUUAAAAAAAUGACAUGGAGCGACACUAUUUCUCAUUUAAAAGUAUCACAUUUUUAUUGAUUAUAUAUCUUUAUGGUUCAUGAUAAGAUUCACUUCACAAUUUGAAAAAUGUUCUUUAUAUUCAAGAUUUUAAAUCUCAAUGACGAUGGUGGUUGAGGUUAUCAAGAAAUGGCAUCAUAUGAGAUAUAAUAUCUUAAAAUUGUUAGAGCACAAACAAUCCUUUAGAUUUUCUGUCCUGAGAACAAGAACUAGAAACUUAAAGAAUGACNAAAGAUGGCGGCUAUCCUAAACAAAGAAAAGGAUGGUCUCUCUGUUGCUUUGUUGGAAGAGGCCAUGCAGUUGUUUGCUUGUUGCCAAAGGGUGAGAUUGCUUGAGCUUCAAGUUUUGAACCCAGCGCAAAAGCCAGCAAUGUUGAUGCCUGCAGAGGAGGAGGCUGUAGGAUUACCCCAUGAAGAAACAGUUAGUGUCUCAUGGUUCUGGCUUUGAUUUUUUCAUUGGGAAUUGGGGUUGCCACUGCCCUUGCUUGGGGUUACUAGUCCUGCUGAUAUGCAGAUAUGUAGUGAUACAUGAAAGAAAGACAAUCUCAUAUACAAAUUUUGUAUCAUUAUCUGUUUUUGUUUAUUUACUGCAACAACAUGAUUGCCAAUCUGUGCAACAGUAAUGCCAUUUUAGUAGUAUAAUUGAAGUGUCUUAAUAAUUUAAGAUAUGAACAGUCGAAAAGAGACCAAAUGAUGCAAACUUAUAUUAAAGAAAUCUCGUGUACAAGAUGGUACAGAGUAGUGCAGAACUGCUAUUAUAAUACAUUAGUUCACAUCUUCGCAUUUUCCAACGCUAUGCACAUAAUAUUAUAUACCACUAUACUAAACUUACAAUCACCACACAAUAGCAAUUUAUAUGGAUAAGUGUAUAGUUCUCAUAUGAUCAUAACAUUCAUCACUUUCUAAAAAUAUUUCCAAGCAAACCCAGCAGACAUGUUUUCCGCACUUGCACUCAAUGUGAUUGCACCCAUCAACCUUUUCAAUUAUUUGCCCACAAGCAGAGCAGCUCUUGACUUGUUCUUUCCCUUUACACCACUCCCUCAGAGAUGUGAUCUCUGGGUCAUCUUUAAGCUCCCGGUAUCUCUCGCAUGAAACGAAUGGAUGAUACUCUAAGUGGCACUUGGUACAAGUGUCUGAAUAACAUGCUCCGCAAGUAAAUGGCUCACUACCUGUGUCGGGAUCUGCAACUCGAUAAAUUGAGGGGCAGUCGGGAGACGGGCAAAACCUAUAAGUUCCUGAACUCGAAGCUACAAAAGCUGCAAAGAAGCCCUGAAAAGUUCAUCUAACUUGUCAUUUGACAGGAGAGUCUGAAAUCUGUAAGCAGAAUAGGAUCUCCACAGCCCGUGUGAGCACAACAUAUUGGGAAACUGCCUUGGUUCUUAUAGCAGAUUCACACUGCUCAACCAGACCACAACCGGCAGAACAAAUGACGACAGCCUUCAAGUUGAUAUCCAUCCUCAACCUCACCAAGCAAACUGGGCAACUAGGUCCUGUGUCGAGUCUCUCAACUAAAUGAAUGCUUGAACACGCAACCUCCAAAGUUAUUUCCUCUACUCUGUUUUCAACUCCUUGACCAUUGAGAAAAAUUGCCUGUUGGCGUGUGUUAAGUUUGAGAUCAGCCCCAGGUACCUUCUCUUUUAGCCUUGAGAUCUGGCCCAAAAUUCUUAACCACUUGUUUCAUCAAGUCGGGAGGUAGGUCCCUCCCUCUCAGAGGGAUUACUAACUGCUUUUCUUCAUGGAGGGAGAGUAGAGAUUGAAUUAACUUCUGCUGAGCCAAAGCAAUCUUUUCUGGUGAACCAAAAUUCUUAAGUUCAGGCUGGGCCUGUCAAAACUAUGUAUGUUUUGGUCUCUUGCUGUAUGGAGCAUUAAAGACUAAUGCCCUCUCUGGACAAAAUGAGUUGUAGAGCUGCGGAGGAAGGCUUCCAUGGUCAAUGAGUUUUCCUCUCGACAGUUCUUCCAGAGGUCUCCUAACUUCUGCACUGUCUUGGUGGCAUUGGUUUAUCUUCAGUCGGUGGGAACCAUUAGCAGUUCUGUUUAGGUUCCACUCAAGACCUAACCAAAAACGAUUCAUUGUCAGCACUCAAAAAAGAUGCAAUAGAUGACAUGACAGAAACUAACAACCAAAAAUAGGGCGAUUUAUUUGGACAGAAAUAUUCUUAAAACACAACUUCAAAUACAGGGCCUUUUUUAUAAUUGCUACCAAAAUUAUUAGUUCCAUUUACAAAAAUUCCAAAAUGAAAGUAACUAUGUACACGCCCUUAAAUUGUGUCCAUCUUAAACAUUAGUGCCUUAAAUCCACAUCCUUAAUAUAAUCACCAAUGAAACAGUAAAAUAAGGGACCAAAAACAAAAAAAGAAAACUACUUCACAUUCUCCGUUUUUCCAACCUUUUCUUUGGGAGGGAAGGGGUGCAAAAAUACUGCUGAAGCUUAACUGGAUAUAAGUUAUUAUUUUAUAAAGAAGAAACAACACAAUUGAACAAAAUACAUGGUGAAAGUCAACAUUUUUUAGGGGGAAUAUUAAGUUGCAGCCAUGUAAAUAAAAGGCUCGGCUUUUGAAAAACAUCAACAGAAAAAUCAAAGCAUCUAUAAAAGAAAAUGAGCAUAAUGAGAAUACCAUUAAAUGUUUUGAAGUUUGCAAGUAUUUUUUCCAAUUGUUCGCAAUCACGUGAUACACUGGUGCAGGAAAUAUCAAGGAGCUAUGAAACAACUGUUCACACAUUAUCUUUGCCAUGAAAGACAUCCGGGUAAUACCUUUCCUUCAAUUUCUUCCAAAGCUUUAGCUGCUUCUAAAUGUAAUCUUCCAUCAAAAUUAUUAAAGCUCUCAUGUAAGAAUCCUUUGGCUCAGGUGAAAUACCUGAACACGCAAGAACUAAUAUGAGGUCUACCUUGGCAUUAAGGGGAAAUUACUUUAAAGAGUGCCUCUUCGCAGGCACUGCCAGGGUGGAUUUCCAACAGCCUCUCCCCUCACCACAAAAAGUCCAGAAUCCUUCUACUUGUAGCAUUCUUAGACAUCCAAAAUUUCUGUUUCUUGAAGCUCUCUGUCAACCCACUUAUCAUAAUACCGUCCAUUGACUUAUUACUAGGUGCACACGAACAUACCUCCCUCCAAUUGCAAGGUUAUAAAAUCUCUCAACAUGAAAUUGACAUCAUUUUUAUCACAUAUAACAUGCCAAAUCCUCUGCUAAGUCUGGCGAGGCCAGAAUUCUGCUUUAACUUCAGGAAAUAAGAAUGUUUUAUCCCCUCCCAAUAGCUGAUUGUGAAGGAAGUAUAUUUCAAGUUCGAGCCGCAAAACUCGUCUCCAUCCAGCUCAACGGCUCUUUUGGCAGCAUCAGGGACAAAAAUGUUAUCUUGCCCCACUUUUCUCUAUCUGAGGAUCCUUCCCCAUUCCUUGGAACUUGUACACAGCACAAUAGAACCUGAGUAAUCUUUCAAAAAACAUCAGGGCUCCUUUCACAUUGCAUUUAUUUGAGUUACUAUCACAUCAACUCAGGGAAUGCUUCUCGAGUUCAAUGCUUAUCUCAGCACCAGACCCAAACAAAGCCAUAGGUGAGCAGACAGACCCGUGAUACAAACAUUUUCCAUACAUCGUCGUGAACCUCUUUCUCGAUUCUAAAAAUCACUCACCAACAUAGUGCUGUAUUCAUUGCGUGUGAAGCGGCAUAUAACUGGAUGAGAUUCUCGUCAACGUUCACUUCAACAAGAUCUUUCAUACCAACAAGCUUUCUAAUACGUGAAACAUGACCAAGCAAAUUACUGUUGGAUUUCCCACAAAAUCUUUGAGAAUACUGCCAAAACCAGUCAAUGUCUUAGUUGCAACUUCCGUUCUUCCAUCUUGGAUAACAUCAAACAGAGGGAGGUUAAGGUCGUAUAAGAUUGAAACUCAACAGCACUAACACAGACCAGACAUUAGACACUGAGAGAAGGUCACCGAAAACCACCAACUAGGCUUCUGAGCAAACACGAGCAAGGAAGAAGAUGAUGCAGUUGAACAUGUUUCCAGUUUCCGCACUUCAUAACCAAGUGAUUGCGUCCAGAAAACAUGGCUACAUUUCAGGAAAGUGAGGCCAGUAUAACCUUUCAUUUUUCUAUCAUGAACAGAAGGUGUAUGAGGAUCCCAACGCCAGUAACUUAGGAACACAAAGCCAUUUCACGCUCUAGAAAAGAGUUCUAACUCGAAAACUGUGUCUUGGCAUCUCUCUAAGUUUAGCAUUGAUGCUAUUUCCCAACACCACUAUUCCUCCUCUCUUGAGGCAUGAGCCUCCCAUUCUUUGUACACAAGAGAGUGUAAAAGGUCACCAUCAGAAUGCAAAUUGCACUUUGAGACAAUCAGAUCUUUGCUUUAUCACCUUCAUACCAAUAUGCAAAAUAUGUUACUAGCAUUGGCAUAUGCGCAAGGGCAACACCUUCUCUGCCAGAGCAAGUUGGAAACAGCCAAGGACACGAUACAAGAAGGAAUGAUAAUCAAAUAGUAGUAGAUGAAGGACCGAUCAACAAAUCUUUACGACAAAUUAAAAAAAUGACAUGGAGCGACACUAUUUCUCAUUUAAAAGUAUCACAUUUUUAUUGAUUAUAUAUCUUUAUGGUUCAUGAUAAGAUUCACUUCACAAUUUGAAAAAUGUUUCUUUAAUUCAAGAUUUUAAAUCUCAAUGACGAUGGUGGUUGAGGUUAUCAAGAAAUGGCAUCAAUAUGAGAUAUAAUAUCUUAAAAUUGUUAGAGCACAAACAAUCCUUUAGAUUUUCUGUCCUGAGGACAAGAACUAGAAACUUAAAGAAUGACAAGCAUCAACCAAUACCUUCAGAAUAAAAUAUAGACUAAAUAGUAUCAUUGUGAAUCUACAAUGCUUAACAUCUACAAAUUAAGGUAUUAUAUAGGGAAUACUAUAUCAAUCAUAUCUGAUUUUCGGGCUGUGAAAAGAACUCCUUUGCUUUAUGAGCUACCUCUGCUUCCAAAAUUGCUUCUUGAACUAUUCAGAUCCUUUCACAUCAGCUCCUAAUACAACCAAAGCUUGUUUCAAUUCAGAUAUCAUUCUAGAGCAAAUAAAAAACGCUCAUAAAAAUCACUAUAACAUAGUAUGCGAUGCAGAUAACAGACAAUCAUGAUUAAGUUAUUAUUACCACCACGAUUUGGUAAGAGUCAGACUUUCAGCGGAAACUGGCAUGACAUAAGCUGCAGACCAUCUUUAAUCUCUCAACUUCAGCACUACUUGCAAUGAACCAUUCUUGAUGGAAGGCCUCGGCCAACCUGGCAUAAGUAGUUGCUUUGCUUUGCUAUUGAUGAUUGGAUGGCAAUGAGUUGAAUCCUAUAAAUAAUAGAGUGUGUAAGAAAACCGCUCCCUAGAGGAGUCCAUUCUAUGAAAAUAUUAGUUUUUGUAUGUGUCGUAAUAAACCUUGGUAAGAGACGAUAUUUGAGAGAUUCACCCAGCACCUUCCGGUAUCCGUUUGUGCAUAUCCACCUACAGCGAUAACCGGUAUACAAAUAUCGGCAUCAAUACAUUUUUCGAUUUUAUAAUCGUGAAUGCAUCAACCAAUACCUUCAAGAUAAAAUAUAGACUAAAUAUGUAUCAUUGUGAAUCUACAAAUGCUAACAUCUACAAAAUUAAGGUAUUAUAUAGGAAUACUAUAUCAAUCAUAUCUGAUUUUCAGGCUGUGAAAAGAACUCCUUUGCUUUAUGAGCUACCUCUGCUUCCAAAAUUGCUUCUUGAACUAUGUCAGAUCCUUUCACAUCAGCUCC